AGUGAACGCUGGCGGUAGGCCUAACACAUGCAAGUCGAACGGCAGCACAGUAAGAGCUUGCUCUUACGGGUGGCGAGUGGCGGACGGGUGAGGAAUACAUCGGAAUCUACUUUUUCGUGGGGGAUAACGUAGGGAAACUUACGCUAAUACCGCAUACGACCUACGGGUGAAAGCAGGGGAUCUUCGUACCUUGCGCGAUUGAAUGAGCCGAUGUCGGAUUAGCUAGUUGGCUGGGUAAAGGCCCACCAAGGCGACGAUCCGUAGCUGGUCUGAGAGGAUGAUCAGCCACACUGGAACUGAGACACGGUCCAGACUCCUACGGGAGGAAGCAGUGGGGAAUAUUGGACAAUGGGCGCGAGCCUGAUCCAGCCAUACCGCGUGGGUGAAGAAGGACUUCGGGUUGUAAAGCCAUUUUGUUGGGAAAGAAAAGCAGCAGGUUAAUCCCCCGCUGUUCUGACGGUACCCAAAGAAUAAGCACCGGCUAACUUCGUG
rnacentral:rRNA from 1 species